rnacentral:rRNA from 1 species
UACGUAGGGACCAAGCGUUGUUCGGAUUUACUGGGCGUAAAGGGCGCGUAGGCGGCGUGACAAGUCACUUGUGAAAUCUCUGGGCUUAACCCAGAACGGCCAAGUGAAACUGUUGUGCUAGAGCGCAGAAGGGGCAAUCGGAAUUCUCGGUGUAGCGGUGAAAUGCGUAGAUAUCGAGAGGAACACCAGAGGUGAAGACGGGUUGCUGGGCUGACACUGACGCUGAGGCGCGAAAGCCAGGGGAGCAAACGGG